AAGUCGUAACAAGGUUUCCGUAGGAGAACCUGCGGAAGGAUCAUUAACACGUAUCCGACGUUAAACCACCCGUGCACCUUCAUCUUACCAGCACCGAAACGAUGGCAUUAAGUCGUGAGCCACCAGGAUCUAGGGAGUUGGACUACCCGGGAGAACCUCGCGAAAUGGUGUGGCACUCUGCAAUAUGGGGGGACCACACCUCGUUGCGAUGUAAACGUGGUCUUGUUUAGUACCUUUUGUCCUCGACACGUACA
rnacentral:misc_RNA from 1 species